GCCGCACCCGAGGGGAGUUCCGGCAGGGAACUGAGAGGCCGACGGCCGCCGGAAACGGCAAGGCGCGCGGCGACCCGACGAACCUGAUCCAGGUCAUGCUGGCGGAGGGACGGGUGGUCGCGGCUCC
rnacentral:ncRNA from 1 species